rnacentral:rRNA from 1 species
AAGAAAGUAAAAAAGGGCGCAUGGCGGAUGCCUUGGCUCUCGGAGGCGAUGAAGGACGUGAUAAGCUGCGAUAAGCUUUGGGGAGGUGCAAAUGACCUUUGAUCCAGAGAUUUCCGAAUGGGACAACCCAAUAUCUUGAAGAGGUAUUAUCCAACGUUGUUGGAGGCUAACGCAGGGAACUGAAACAUCUUAGUACCUGCAGGAAAAGAAAAUAAACAAUGAUUCCCCCAGUAGUGGCGAGCGAACGGGGAACAGCCCAAACCAUCCAUGUUACGGCAUGGGUGGGGUUGUAGGACUACGCCGUUGCAUGAAGACAUCAGAGAAGAACUUUCUGGAAAGAAAGACCAUAGAGCAUGACAGUUGCGUAUUCGAAUGUUGUCGAAGCAUAGUAGUAUCCUGAGUAGCGCGGAGCACGAGGAAUUCUGCGUGAAUCUGCCGGGACCAUCCGGUAAGGCUAAAUACUCCCGAGAGACCGAUAGCGAACCAGUACCGUGAGGGAAAGGUGAAAAGCACUUCGAACAGAAGAGUGAAAUAGUUCCUGAAACCGUGCGCCUACAAGCGGUCGGAGCUCGUUAAUGAGUGACGGCGUGCCUUUUGCAUAAUGAACCUACGAGUUGCCUUUGCCGGCAAGGUUAAGUGUGACGACACACGUAUCCGAAGCGAAAGCGAGUCUGAACAGGGCGUAUAGUCGGCAGUGGCAGACGCGAAACCAAGUGAUCUACCCUUGGCCAGGUUGAAGGCUGGGUAACACCAGCUGGAGGACCGCACCAAUAAGCGUUGAAAAGCUUCUGGAUGAGCUGAGGGUAGGGGUGAAAGGCUAAUCAAACUUGGAGAUAGCUCGUACUCCCCGAAAUGCAUUUAGGUGCAGCCUUGCGGGUUACUGAUGUGAGGUAGAGCGACUGAUAAGAUGCGAGGGCUUCACCGCCUAUCAAGUCUUGACAAACUCCGAAUGCGCAUCAGUUCUACCGCAGGAGUGAGGGCAUGGGUGCUAAGGUCCGUGCCCGAGAGGAGAAGAAUCCGGACCACCUGCUAAGGUCCCGAAAUGACAGCUAAGUUAAACUAACGAAGUCUGACUGCUAAGACAGCUAGGAUGUUGGCUUGGAAGCAGCCAUUCAUUUAAAGAGUGCGUAACAGCUCACUAGUCGAGGAGUCGGGCGUGGAUAAUAAUCGGGUAUCAAGUUGUCUACCGAAGCAGUGGGAUCAUUGAUAUGAUCGGUAGGGGAGCAUUCCAGUCAGCGUCGAAGGCGUACCGUGAGGUAUUCUGGAGCGUCUGGAAAAGCAAAUGUAGGUAUAAGUAACGAUAAAGGGGGCGGGAAACCCCCUCGCCGAAAGACUAAGGUUUCCUGAUCAACGCUAAUCGGAUCAGGGUCAGUCGGGUCCUAAGGCUCAGCCGAACGGCGAUGCCGAUGGCAGAAACGGUUAAUAUUCCGUUACUACCUUCAGGAGUGACGUGGAGACGCAGUAGUGACAGUGCCGCCAUCUGACGGAAUAGAUGGUUGAAGGGUGUAGGAGUCGAUCAUGGCAGGCAAAUCCACCAUGAGAUCCGAACCUGAUAGUAUGCCGCGUCCUUCGGGACAAGGCAAUAGUGCGCGUAAGCAUGCUGCCGAGAAAAUCCGCUAAACUUAAUCCUGCAGGUACCCGUACCGCAAACGGACACACGUAGUCGGGAUGAAUAUUCUAAGGCGCUUGAGUGAUUCACGGUUAAGGAACUAGGCAAACUGACCCUGUAACUUCGGGAUAAAGGGUCCCUACCCUUUUAUGGGAGGGCGCAGAGAAUCGGUCCAGGCAACUGUUUAACAAAAACACAGGGCUGUGCCAAAUCGAAAGAUCCAGUAUACAGCCUGACACCUGCCCGGUGCUGGAAGGUUAAGAGGAGAUGUCAUCGAUAAGAGAAGCGUUGAAUUGAAGCCCCAGUAAACGGCGGCCGUAACUAUAACGGUCCUAAGGUAGCGAAAUUCCUUGUCGGGUAAGUUCCGACCUGCACGAAUGGUGUAAUGAUCUGGACGCUGUCUCAACCGUGAGCUCAGUGAAAUUGUAGUAUCGGUGAAGAUGCCGAUUACCCGCGAUGGGACGAAAAGACCCCGUGAACCUUUACUAUAGCUUAUCAUUGAAUCUGGGCACGUGAUGUGUAGGAUAGGUCGGAGGCUUUGAAGCAGGUACGCCAGUAUUUGUGGAGCCGCUGUUGAAAUACGACCCUUUAUUUGUUUGGAUUCUAACCCGUGGAACGGGGACAUUGAUUGGUGGGUAGUUUGACUGGGGUGGUCGCCUCCAAAAGCGUAACGGAGGCUUCUAAAGGUGCCCUCCGGCCGAUUGGUAACCGGCCUUAGAGUGUAAUGGCAUAAGGGCGCUUGACUGGGAGACUGACAAGUCGAUCAGGUAGGAAACUAGAGCAUAGUGAUCCGGUGUUUCCGUAUGGAAGGGACAUCGCUCAAAGGAUAAAAGGUACUCCGGGGAUAACAGGCUGAUCCCUCCCAAGAGCUCAUAUCGACGGAGUGGUUUGGCACCUCGAUGUCGGCUCGUCACAUCCUGGGGCUGGAGAAGGUCCCAAGGGUUGGGCUGUUCGCCCAUUAAAGUGGCACGCGAGCUGGGUUCAGAACGUCGUGAGACAGUUCGGUCUCUAUCUAUCGUGGGCGCAUGAAAUUUGCGUGGCUCUGACACUAGUACGAGAGGACCGUGUUGGACAGACCUCUGGUUUGCCGGUUGUGCCGCCAGGUGCAUUGCCGGGUAUCUAAGUCUGGAUCGGAUAAGUGCUGAAAGCAUCUAAGUACGAAGCCGGCCACAAGAUUAGAUUUCUCAGGGUCGUUGUAGACUACGACGUUGAUAGGAUGCAGGUGUAAAGAUGGAGACAUCAAAGCCGAGCAUUACUAAUUGCCCGUUCACUUUCUUUA